GGUCGGCCGGGCUCAGCCCCGUAUAAAGGCCGGGGAGGACCCGACCGGGCCACGGCCACCGCCGCCGCAGGACCAGCCGCGCCACCGCACCGCACCAAAGCCCUCCCGUCCUUCCCUCCUUUCCUCCUUCCUUCCCUCCGCCCCGAUGGGGCCCGCGCUGGGCCCGGUCCGCCCGGGCCUGGGCCUUUUCCCGUUCCUGCUCCUCGUCGUCGUCGCCGCCGCGCAGGGAGCCAGGGACCCCCAGGGCCAAAAGAGAGGCCACCCCCGGCGCCCCUCCGGUCCGACCAGAGCGAAGUGGGCUUCGCCGGCCCCCCGGCUCCUCCGACCCCCGGGACCCCGGCGUCCCAGACUUUCCUCCCCCACGGUGGGAUCCCCCGACCCCCUCCUUGCGGACAAGAGA